rnacentral:piRNA from 1 species
UCACCAAGUUGAACGGAGAUGUGUUC